ensembl:snoRNA
UUGAUGCAAUGAUGAGUGCAUAGUUCAGCAGAUAAAAAUGAAGAAUAAUCAUGUCUUUCGCUCCUAACUGAUGCAUCAA